rnacentral:rRNA from 1 species
UUUUCUGGUUGAUCCUGCCAGAGGUCACUGCUAUCGGGGUUCGAUUAAGCCAUGCGAGUCGAGAGGGUUCGGGCCCUCGGCGUACUGCUCAGUAACACGUGGAUAACCUGCCCUAGGGAAGGGGAUAACCCCGGGAAACUGGGGAUAAUACCCUAUAGGUUACAGAUGCUGGAAUGCUCUGUAACCCAAAGUUCCGGCGCCCUAGGAUGGAUCUGCGGCCGAUUAGGUUGUUGUUGGGGUAAUGGCCCAACAAGCCAGUAAUCGGUACGGGUUGUGGGAGCAAGAGCCCGGAGUUGGAUUCUGAGACACGAAUCCAGGCCCUACGGGGCGCAGCAGGCGCGAAAACUUUACAAUGCGGGCAACCGUGAUAAGGGAACCUCGAGUGCCUGUAAAUGCAGGCUGUUUAGGUGUUUAAAACGCACCUGGAGAAAGGGCCGGGCAAGACCGGUGCCAGCCGCCGCGGUAAUACCGGCGGCUCGAGUGGUGGCCACUUUUAUUGGGCUUAAAGCGUUCGUAGCUGGGUUGUUAAGUCUCUUGGGAAAUCUGGCGGCUUAACCGUCAGGCGUCUAAGGGAUACUGGCAAUCUUGGAACCGGGAGAGGUGAGGGGUACUUCGGGGGUAGGAGUGAAAUCCUGUAAUCCUCGAGGGACCACCUGUGGCGAAGGCGCCUCACCAGAACGGCUUCGACAGUGAGGGACGAAAGCUGGGGGAGCAAACCGGAUUAGAUACCCGGGUAGUCCCAGCCGUAAACUAUGCGCGUUAGGUGUAUCGGUGACCACGAGUUACCGAGGUGCCGAAGGGAAACCGUGAAACGUGCCGCCUGGGAAGUACGGUCGCAAGGCUGAAACUUAAAGGAAUUGGCGGGA